GUAGUUUCUCCUCUGUGAGGCUACAUCCACAUAGUGCUGAGUAGGCACAGGUUCAGUCCACAAGCAUUGCCUGAGUAUCUGCCCAUCCCCAGCUUUGAGGACGUUGACUCAGUGUAUCCCUUCUCUAGGCUGUCUUGCUUUAUCACUGACCACCUUCUUUUAUAGUUUUUAAUCUGCCUGUGUGUUGUGUACCCAGCCAGUAGCCUGAGACAGGAAAGAUCUUUUUAUUGAGGGAAGAAGGGAAGGCUGCUUUGUGGCGAGUGCAUCAGAAUCACCGUCAUCUGUACUUUGGUGGGUUUAAAUCAAAAGUGGGUUCUUGAGCCCU
rnacentral:lncRNA from 1 species